rnacentral:rRNA from 1 species
GAUGAACGCUGGCGGCAUGCUUUACACAUGCAAGUCGGACGGGAAGUGGUGUUUCCAGUGGCGGGCGGGUGAGUAACGCGUAAGAACCUGCCCUUGGGAGGGGAACAACAGCUGGAAACGGCUGCUAAUACCCCGUAGGCUGAGGAGCGAAAGGAGGAAUCCGCCCCAGGAGGGGCUCGCGUCUGAUUAGCUAGUUGGUGAGGUAAUAGCUUACCAAGGCCGUGAUCAGUAGCUGGUCCGAGAGGAUGAUCAGCCACGCUGGGACUGAGACAAGGCCCAGACUCCUACGGGAGGCAGCAGUGGGGAAUUUUCCGAAAUGGGCGAAAGCCUGACGGAGCAAUGCCGCGUGGAGGUAAAAGGCCUACGGGUCAUGAACUUCUUUUCCUGGAGAAGAAACAAUGACGGUAUCUGGGGAAUAAGCAUCGGCUAACUCUGUG